GAUACCACUGUGUAUUCCUGAACACAAACCCCUCUGUGUAUCACUCCAUGUUGCUUCCACAGGUUAAGCGACUAUGCUGGCACCUGUGGGAGAUCUCCACAUUAACAGAGUAUUUGAUUAUGCUGUCUGAACUGGCUAUGCGUCAGAUUUACUGAAGUAAAAACUUUCAACAACGGAUCUCUUGGCUCUCGCAUCGAUGAAGAACGCAGCGAAAUGCGAUAGGUAAUGUGAAUUGCAGAAUUCAGUGAAUCAUCGAAUCUUUGAACGCACAUUGCGCCCUUUGGUAUUCCUUAGGGCAUGCCUGUUCGAGCGUCACUAGACACCUUAUCACAACAUUUGUGGUCUUGGCAGGAGUGAAUUUGCUAGUCUAUGAAAAUAUUCCAGCUGUCCACUGCGCCAAAAAUUAUGGGAAGGUUACCAGGCGUGAACAACAGACUUUAUAAAUGGUUGCAGGACCUGUAUCAGUCACAAGUUAUGUCUGGUCCUUACCUU
rnacentral:sRNA from 1 species